CAAGAAUGCAGCUGUGCAGAGAGAGAGUGUAAUAAUUAUAGUGCAUCUUCCCUCCGCUCACAGUUGUUGACUUCUCUCCAAGCUCAUUACUGUGUCAAUAAGGAGUAAUCUGCCACAAAGUCUAACGCCGUCGACAGAAAAUGUCCAGUCCCUGUUCAGACGCCGCUGGCUGCGACCAGAACCCUCAGUCAGGGGAUAAGAAGUCUCAUGGCGGCUGCCACAAGGGCAAGGGCCAUGGAGGCAAGCAUGAUAAAGGAGGCGAUCACAAAGGAGGAGACCACGAACACGGGCACAAGAAGCAUGGCCAUGGUCAUGGUCAUGGUCAUGGUCAUGGUCACGGACCAGAACAAGGAAAAGAACACGGAGAUAAUUAGAAAGGUGAAUACAGGCUGCAAACACACUGACCACCAGACGUCCUGUGAAACCUGUCAAUGCACUCUAACAUUAAAACAUGUGACACUAUUACCUUAAAUCUGAUUUACUUAAAAAGAGGUCAUUAAACAGACUUUUAAUAA